UGAGGUGGUAAGUCACAGAGGCUGAGCAUCUGGGGUUUGUAGCUAAGCACAAAUAGACAAUGUUUGUUUUUUAAUAAGGACAAAUGUGAAGUCCUGCAUCCUGGAAACAAGAACACAGGCUGUGUUUGCAGGACGGGGACUUCUGCCCAGACAAGCAGGGAUCCAAGGGAGAACUGAGAGAUUAUGAUGUGAAAUCCAGCGGACUGAACAAUGCAGUGUUUUGUGUUGCUGUAAUGAAGAACAAAUUGUGUAGGACACAAAGCACCUCUUGAAUUUUUGCUUUUUAGCUUGUGCAUUUCACUCCUAUGGUUUUAUGUACUUGAAAUUCCAAAGGAAGACUCCUCUAUCUGAGAGUUAUCU
rnacentral:lncRNA from 1 species